rnacentral:rRNA from 1 species
CCAGAGCGAACGCUGGCGGCAGGCUUAACACAUGCAAGUCGAGCGGGCGUAGCAAUACGUCAGCGGCAGACGGGUGAGUAACGCGUGGGAACGUACCUUUCGGUUCGGAACAACACAGGGAAACUUGUGCUAAUACCGGAUAAGCCCUUACGGGGAAAGAUUUAUCGCCGAAAGAUCGGCACGCGUCUGAUUAGCUAGUUGGUGAGGUAAUGGCUCACCAAGGCGACGAUCAGUAGCUGGUCUGAGAGGAUGAUCAGCCACAUUGGGACUGAGACACGGCCCAAACUCCUAGGGGAGGCAGCAGUGGGGAAUAUUGGACAAUGGGGGCAACCCUGAUCCAGCCAUGCCGCGUGAGUGAUGAAGGCCCUAGGGUUGUAAAGCUCUGUUGUGCGGGAAGAUAAUGACGGUACCGCAAGAAUAAGCCCCGGCUAACUUCGUGCCAGCAGCCGCGGUAAUACGAAGGGGGCUAGCGUUGCUCGGAAUCACUGGGCGUAAAGGGUGCGUAGGCGGGUCUUUAAGUCAGGGGUGAAAUCCUGGAGCUCAACUCCAGAACUGCCUUUGAUACUGAGGAUCUUGAGUUCGGGAGAGGUGAGUGGAACUGCGAGUGUAGAGGUGACAUUCGUAGAUAUUCGCAAGAACACCAGUGGCGAAGGCGGCUCACUGGCCCGAUACUGACGCUGAGGCACGAAAGCGUGGGGAGCAAACAGGAUUAGAUACCCUGGUAGUCCACGCCGUAAACGAUGACUGCCAGCCGUUAGUGGGUUUACUCACUAGUGGCGCAGCUAACGCUUUAAGCAUUCCGCCUGGGGAGUACGGUCGCAAGAUUAAAACUCAAAGGAAUUGACGGGGGCCCGCACAAGCGGUGGAGCAUGUGGUUUAAUUCGACGCAACGCGCAGAACCUUACCAGCCCUUGACAUGUCCAGGACCGGUCGCAGUUAUGUGACCUUCUCUUCGGAGCCUGGAGCACAGGUGCUGCAUGGUUGUCGUCAGCUCGUGUCGUGAGAUGUUGGGUUAAGUCCCGCAACGAGCGCAACCCCCGUCCUUAGUUGCUACCAUUUAGUUGAGCACUCUAAGGAGACUGCCGGUGAUAAGCCGCGAGGCAGGUGGGGAUGACGUCAAGUCCUCAUGGCCCUUACGGGCUGGGCUACGCGU